GCCUGGGUGGCCCAGUCGGUUGAGCGUCCGACUUCGGCUCAGGUCAUGAUCUCACGGUUUGUGGGUUCAAGCCCCACAUCAGGCU
rnacentral:tRNA from 1 species